UGAAAAACCAAAAAAGAAAAAAAAAAUGAAUGAAUGAAUGAAUGAAUGAAAAAGAAACAAGGCCAGGCAACACUCAUACUAACGUUUUCUUUGUCGUUUUCUGUUUGUUGUUUGUGUUCCUGAGAUGCGUUUAACCGGAUAUCCUGGUUUUCACUGGGUUAUCCUAAUUUUAAGUGAAUCUUGAUCCUGAGACUGAAGUCUAGCAAAUUGUCACCAUCCCAAGCGUGGGCAAGGAAAUGGUGCUGAUUCAGCAGAUCCAAGCUGGAGCGUGAGCCUUGCCUUUCCCCCAUGCUAGGGAAUGAAAGAAAUCCAGUGCCUCAGGUACACGGGGGUUGCAGGCAAGACCCUGCAUUUCUGAUGAGCUCUCAGGUGUGGUGCGGGUUGCUGGUAUGCAGGGCUGGUUUCUACUUUUGCUGCACAUUCAAACCACCUGGGCAGUUUUUUAAAAAAGAAUCCUUUUGCCUAACUUCCCUGUCCAUCACCCAGCAUGUCUGUUUUCUCUCAAAGCACUUGCUUUAUGGCAGGAGAGAAGAUAGUUGAAAAACAGACACGGUGCCUCUCUCUGGCUACCAGGCUAUUGAAACACUGAACCCCAAAGAAUUACAGUUUCCCCAGGAAGUCCAGCUAGGGAAGGAGAAGUACUGAAGCCCUGAUGGCAGCAGGAGGAGGAAGUCGCCUCCUAGGAAGAGAUUGCACACAGUUCUGACAGCUUGUGGGACUACCUUUUGGGAGAAACUGGAGCCUAGACAAUAACGGGUCAGUAAUAAUAGCCUUGCCGCACACCUUGGCUGACUACUUAGCUAUGCAUCUCUAUUGCAUUCUGCUUAAACCUAAAUCUCAUGUCAGAACUCCAAAAGUUUGAGAGGUCGUCUUUAUUGAUUCCUUUUCCCAGUGUGGCCACAGUGAAUAAAUCUUCAUUGUCUGA